rnacentral:rRNA from 1 species
UACGGGGGAGCAAGCGUUGUUCGGAUUUACUGGGCGUAAAGGGCGCGUAGGCGGUCAGCACAGUCAGUUGUGAAAUCUCCGGGCUUAACUCGGAAAGGUCAACUGAUACUGUGCGACUAGAGUGCAGAAGGGCAACUGGAAUCCUGGUGUAGCGGUGGAAUGCGCAGAUAUCAGGAGGAACACCGAUGGCGAAGCGGCAUCCCUGGACAAUUCUGA